GACGAACGCUGGCGGCGUGCUUAACACAUGCAAGUCGAACGGAAAGGCCCAGCUUGCUGGGUACUCGAGUGGCGAACGGGUGAGUAACACGUGGGUGAUCUGCCCUGCACUCUGGGAUAAGCCUGGGAAACUGGGUCUAAUACCGGAUAUGACCAACUGUCGCAUGGUGGUUGGUGGAAAGCUUUUGCGGUGUGGGAUGGGCCCGCGGCCUAUCAGCUUGUUGGUGGGGUAAUGGCCUACCAAGGCGACGACGGGUAGCCGACCUGAGAGGGUGAUCGGCCACACUGGGACUGAGACACGGCCCAGACUCCUACGGGAGGCAGCAGUGGGGAAUAUUGCACAAUGGGCGCAAGCCUGAUGCAGCGACGCCGCGUGAGGGAUGACGGCCUUCGGGUUGUAAACCUCUUUCACCAGGGACGAAGCGUGAGUGACGGUACCUGGAGAAGAAGCACCGGCCAACUACGUGCCAGCCGCCGCGGUAAU
rnacentral:rRNA from 1 species